ensembl:lncRNA
AGCGCAGCACGAGGAAAAGGAAUGCACGGUGGUGCAGAACGAGCGCAGAAGGAUGGGGAGCAGCAGCGGUGGGAUCCCCCUUUGGCACGGCUACCCACCGCUACGGGACUGCAACAAGGAGCUGCACCCUGCCGUGGUCAGCAUGGCUCUGUGUGCCAGCUGUGUGCUGCUGGAAAGCACCCGAGCGGUUACGGGUGGGAGAGUGGCAGAGGAAAUCAUCCGAACAUCUGCAGGGAUAGCACAAGGCAGGCUCAGUGUGACGGCUGUGUCAUCGUGCAGCAGACAGAUGCUGAGCAGAGCACAGCAGGGCCAGGACGUUCUGACCAGGGGGAGGUGGAGAGUGCACAUGAGAUAAGGCACAGCUGCAGGACAGAGCAUGAGACCCAGCACGUGCAACAGCUGCAAGAAAUCCUGCCUGCCUGUCUGCAUAGAAAAGCACACAAUCAGCCCGAAAGGAACACGUUGGCCAUAGACCUCCUCUGGAAAAACUGCACAGCGGAUGCGUGGUGGAGACUGUGAGCCUGCAGUGCCCAGCCAAGGGGGAACAGGAGAGCAGUGGGUUCCAUGGGAGGAGAGCUACAGGAGCAGAAGGAGCUCACAGAGGAGAGUGCAGUAACGCCAUAGUAAUAAGGAAUGAGUAAUAAGGAAUGAGCAUUGCUGCUGCACUGAGAGCUGUGCUUGGUGGAACAUGAGGGAUACGAGUGUUUCUCGCACACCCCAGAGGCACCGGGGGAGAUGUGCUGAGAUGUAAGGAAGCCUCAUGGGGUUGUGGGGCAGAUAAAGGACGCCUAUGGGAGGGCUUCAGGAGAACUUUGAGGCAGCCUUGCAGCAGAGCCACACCUGGGAUCUGCCUUUACCCAACACACUGCUGCUGGCCAUGGGCUGCGGGCAGUGAUGGGGCUUCUCUGGGGCUGCUCUAGGAUGGCUCUGGGGCUGCUAUGGGCAGCUAUGGGAUACACUCAUGGAGCAUCUUCCAUAGCCCCCAGCUAACCCCUCGACCUCCAUCUUGUCCCGCAAGAUGAGGGCAAGAUGAGUGUCAGGGGAAUAUUCAGGCUGCUGACCUACAGUGGCCCCAGAACCACCUUAUAGUACCCCCUGAACAA